rnacentral:rRNA from 1 species
ACGGGUGAGUAAUGUCUGGGAAACUGCCUGAUGGAGGGGGAUAACUACUGGAAACGGUAGCUAAUACCGCAUAACGUCGCAAGACCAAAGAGGGGGACCUUCGGGCCUCUUGCCAUCAGAUGUGCCCAGAUGGGAUUAGCUAGUAGGUGGGGUAACGGCUCACCUAGGCGACGAUCCCUAGCUGGUCUGAGAGGAUGACCAGCCACACUGGAACUGAGACACGGCCCAGACUCCUACGGGAGGCAGCAUG